AGGCGGUCCCCUCGCAAUGAUAGAUGGUGAACUCCGCCAGGCCCGGAAGGGAGCAACGGUAACCGUCGACUCGUGUGCCGGGGUGUGGCUGUCUGGG
rnacentral:SRP_RNA from 1 species